rnacentral:rRNA from 1 species
AAGAAGUUUUCGGAUGGAUUUGAAGAUGUAUGUUCUAGCGGCGGACGGGUGAGUAACGCGUGAGCAACCUGUCCCUUACAGGGGGAUAACACAGCGAAAGUUGUACUAAUACCGCAUAAGACCACAGGGGGACAUCCUCCAGGGGUCAAAGGAGCAAUCCGGUAAGGGGUGGGCUCGCGUCCGAUUAGAUAGUUGGUGAGGUAACGGCCCACCAAGUCGACGAUCGGUAGCCGACCUGAGAGGGUGAUCGGCCACAUUGGGACUGAGACGCGGCCCAAACUCCUACGGGAGGCAGCAGUGGGGAAUAUUGGGCAAUGGGGGGAACCCUGACCCAGCAACGCCGCGUGAGGGAAGAGGGUUUUCGGAUCGUAAACCUCUGUCCUUGGUGAAGAGGAAGAGACGGUAGCCAAGGAGGAAGCCCCGGCUAACUACGUGCCAGCAGCCGCGGUAAUACGUAGGGGGCGAGCGUUGUCCGGAAUGAUUGGGCGUAAAGGGCGCGUAGGCGGCCUUUUAAGUCUGGAGUGAAAGUCCUGUUUUUAAGAUGGGAAUUGCUUUGGAUACUGGAAGGCUUGAGUGCAGGAGAGGUAAGUGGAAUUCCCAGUGUAGCGGUGAAAUGCGUAGAGAUUGGGAGGAACACCAGUGGCGAAGGCGACUUACUGGACUGUAACUGACGCUG